rnacentral:rRNA from 1 species
CGCCUUGCCAGCCCGCUACAGAACUUAAAGGAAUUGACGGGGCCGCACAAGCGAGGAGCAUGUGGUUUAAUUCGAUGAUACGCGAGGAACCUUACCUGGGCUCGAACGUAAGAUGACUGUAGGUGAAAGCUUACAUCUCUUCGGAGCAUUUUACGAGGUGCUGCAUGGUUGUCGUCAGCUCGUGCCGUGAGGUGUCGGGUUAAGUCCCAUAACGAGCGCAACCCCUACCUUUAGUUGCCAUCAGGUUAAGCUGGGGACUCUAAAGGAACUGCCUACGCAAGUAGUGAGGAAGGCGGGGAUGACGUCAAAUCAGCACGGCCCUUACGUCCAGGGCUACACACGUGCUACAAUGGCCGAUACAGAGGGCAGCUACCUGGUGACAGGAUGCAAAUCUCCAAAGUCGGUCUCAGUUCGGAUCGGAGUCUGCAACCCGACUCCGUGAAGUUGGAUUCGCUAGUAAUCGCGCAUCAGCCAUGGCGCGGUGAAUACGUUCCCGGGCCUU